rnacentral:lncRNA from 1 species
AUGACAUGCUGUUGUGCUGCUUUAGAAGACAUUGUCACCUGCCUCUUUGGGCGCCUGGCUAAAGGAGACCAGGAGACUCUCAGAGGCAGAGGCAUUUCACAUCACGGACAGAGAUCGCCCCACUUCAUGCAGCAGAAGCCAGAAGUUCUGCAGCAGGUCACCCAGAACAUGCUGGAGAGAAGUGGCCAAAGCUCUGCACUGCAAAGGGGCUUCCAAUCCCAAGGGCUUGGAUAUGAUUUGACAAGGACUUUGGAAACAGCACUGACUGAUAAACCAUCUCAUAAAGUGCUGGGAUCCUGUUAUAUUGUUAAAGAGAUGAUUUUUUUUUGGGGGGGGGGGGGGGGGGGGGGGGGGGGGGGGGGGGGGGGGGGGGGGGGGGGGGGGGGGGGGGGGGGGGGGGGGGGGGGGGGGGGGGGGGGGGGGGGGGGGGGGGGGGGGGG